rnacentral:rRNA from 1 species
UACGUAGGGGGCGAGCGUUGUCCGGAAUUAUUGGGCGUAAAGAGCGUGUAGGCUGUUCGGUAAGUCUGCCGUGAAAACCUGAGGCUCAACCUCGGGCGUGCGGUGGAUACUGCCGGGCUAGAGGACGGUAGAGGCGAGUGGAAUUCCCGGUGUAGCGGUGAAAUGCGCAGAUAUCGGGAGGAACACCUAUGGCGAAGGCAGCUCGCUGGGACGUUACUGACGCUGAGACGCGAAAGCGUGGGGAGCAAACAGG